rnacentral:rRNA from 1 species
UACGGAGGAUCCAAGCGUUAUCCGGAAUUACUGGGCGUAAAGAGUUGCGUAGGUGGCAUAGCAAGCAGAUAGUGAAAGGCUACGGCUCAACCGUAGAUACAUUAUCUGAACUUCUAAGCUUGAGCAUAAGAGAGGUACCUGGAAUUCCCAGUGUAGGAGUGAAAUCCGUAGAUAUUGGGAGGAACACCGAUGGCGUAGGCAGGGUACUGGCUUAUUGCUGACACUAAGGCACGAAAGCGUGGGGAGCGAACGGG